CGCUUGUUAGUCCACAAAUGCUUACUAUGUUGUUUAGUGUUAGAGAAAGAUCUUGGUUUGGAAUAGUAACCUUUUUGAAACUUUUUCUUUGUUUGAGAUCUGUUAUUAUUCCAGGAUUUGGAUUGUUUAUGAUUCCAGGGUUUGUAUUUAUCACCAAUCCUUUGUUCUGAUUGGCUAUAUCUACUGACUCUAGAAUCAUAAAUAAUCUUAGUCCUAUAUUGCAUCUGAGGUUUGGAGUUUGAAUUUUUUCUUUUAAAAACUUAUGAGUCUUUAGAUUGACUAGCCUCAUGUACUGAAGUUCCUUUGGUUCCAGAAUUUGAAGUCUCAGAUUUUGAAGUUUUCAGAACUUCUGAACUAAUGUUCUCAGGUUCUGAACAACUUCUAUCUU
rnacentral:lncRNA from 1 species